rnacentral:rRNA from 1 species
CACACCGCCCGUCACAUCACGAAAGUGGGUUGUACUAGAAGUCCGUACGCCGACCCGCAAGGGAGGCAGCGGCCCAAGGUGUGACUCAUGAUUGGGGUGAAGUCGUAACAAGGUACCC